GUCAACCCUUAUCCCUAGUUGCCAUCAGGUAAAGCUGGGGAACUCUGGGGAGACUGACCGGUGAUAAACCGGAGGAAGGCGGGGGAUGACGUCAAGUCCUCAUGGCCCUUACAUCCCGGGCUACACACGUGCUACAAUGGCAGGUACAGAGGGCUGCGAAGCCGCGAGGUGGAGCGAAUCCCAGAAAACCUGUCUCAGUCCGGAUUGAAGUCUGCAACUCGACUUCAUGAAGGCGGAAUCGCUAGUAACCGCGAAUCAGCAGGUCGCGGUGAAUACGUUCCCGGGCCUU
rnacentral:rRNA from 1 species